rnacentral:lncRNA from 1 species
UCCGUUACUUCAUCUAAACCAGUUGCCUAACAACGAGAGGAGGGGAGAAGGUUGGAAAAAACUGGAAGAAAUAAGUUGCAGGUUUUUUACAGAGGUGCGUUUGAUUGAUGCUUCUUAUAUUACCAUCAUUUAAUUAUAAUUAUUACAUAUUAUCAAUGGCAGAUCAAAAACGGAGGAUAUGAAAAGAUCGCCGUCGCCAAACCCGAGCUCUUUUACAUCCAAUCUUCUUGGAGGGAGGUUUUGUCUUUGUUCUCCGACGACGCAUCCCGGCUCUUUCCGACGACGCUUGCAACCACCGUAACGAAAACAAACAAUCAAAUCAUCGGGGUGCCAACACCAUCAAGAACUUUGUUCCCUCCUCCAAGACCGAAGAAAAUAUCUAUUACCUCAACUACUGCAACUAAAGUUUUUGAUUCCACCGGGGUGUCAUAAUCAAGAACUUUGUUCCCUCCUCCUCGACCAAGGAAUUUAUCUUCCGAAACUGAAUUUCUUGAUUCUACAGAGAAUAAAGAAACAACAUCACACUCCUGGCAAGAAUAAAUAAGAUGAAUUCAAAUUCAAAUUUUAUUUGAUUUUAUUUUUUUAAAUAAUUUCAAGCAUUUUUCUUCUUUAUUAAAUUCCAAUAUCGGCAUUAUAAUGUAAUCUGAAACACAGUAAAACAGUUGUUUGCUUAUGAAAUACUAUAAAUAUUGAUGAUCCUAUGAUAAUUAUUAGAAAGGUUUAAAAAACAACAUUUUCAGGAUAAACAGAGCUGUUGAUUCAUUAUUGGCAUCAAAGAUUUGCAACCAUUGCCAGUUUCUGAAGAAAGGAAAUAAAAAAAAAGAUAAGAAAACAAGAUUGAACUAACUUUCAACUUAUUUGCAAUCUGACCCAACAACCGCAUCCACCAAUUGAUCGAUCUUCUUGUCGGAAUUCUUGACGUCCACCACCUCCCCAUCUCCAGAUCGAUUAUCUCCGCCUUCGUCGCCGGAAUCGGAAAGGUCAAGGGACCGUGACCGACUGACGUAGAGGGGAACCGAAGUACUAAUGUGAGAUGCAGAUAUUAUGGACAUUGAUAGCGGUUAUCUGUGGUAUGAAUCGAGGGUGGUGCACGACUAGAUCCCGUGCGGGUUGAUUUUAUAUCCAAGGAAAUGUCCUUAUGUCACCUUGAACGUGCAUUUCUUGGCCUUCAAACGUAGGUCUGCCUUUCGGAUGUUGGCUAAAUUUAAUUUCUUAAUUUCAGGUUGGACAGGUGGUCUUGUUAUACAUUGGACUGGACUAAGAUAUCAUUUACGUAUACCUCGACAUUUCUUCCGAUCUGGUUCGCGAAGAUUCGGUCAAUUAACCUUUGGAAUGUUGUUCCCACAUUCCGGAGCCCGAACGGCAUUACCCGUAAAAAGAACGUGUCAUGCUCGGUUACGAAAGACGUUUUUUUCGGUCCUAAUUCGCCCAGUAUGCUGCCUCGGUUCGUGUCACCCCGGAGGGUCUCAUUAUCAUCCUAUGAGAAACCCAAGAGGGUUGUUAAUCUCUUCUUCGUUGUCUUUAAAGUUUAAAGGGUCAUAUUACUUAUAAUAAUACAAAGAUAACAAAAUAAAUGGAAACAAAAUAAUAUAGGGUUAAAUAUGCAAAUUAUUAAAUUUGAAGAUUGUUAUUUCCAAGAUCUUCUAUAAAUGAUCGAAUUCCGUUACUUCAUCUAAACCAGUUGCCUAACAACGAGAGGAGGGGAGAAGGUUGGAAAAAACUGGAAGAAAUAAGUUGCAGGUUUUUUACAGAGGUGCGUUUGAUUGAUGCUUCUUAUAUUACCAUCAUUUAAUUAUAAUUAUUACAUAUUAUCAAUGGCAGAUCAAAAACGGAGGAUAUGAAGAGAUCGCCGUCGCCAAACCCGAGCUCUUUUACAUCCAAUCUUCUUGGAGGGAGGUUUUGUCUUUGUUCUCCGACGACGCAUCCCGGCUCUUUCCGACGACGCUUGCACCCACCGUAACGAAAACAAACAAUCAAAUCAUCGGGGUGCCAACACCAUCAAGAACUUUGUUCCCUCCUCCAAGACCGAAGAAAAUAUCUAUUACCUCAACUACUGCAACUAAAGUUUUUGAUUCCACCGGGGUGUCAUAAUCAAGAACUUUGUUCCCUCCUCCUCGACCAAGGAAUUUAUCUUCCGAAACUGAAUUUCUUGAUUCUAUAGAGAAUAAAGAAACAACAUCACACUCCUGGCAAGAAUAAAUAAGAUGAAUUCAAAUUCAAAUUUUAUUUGAUUUUAUUUUUUUAAAUAAUUUCAAGCAUUUUUCUUCUUUAUUAAAUUCCAAUAUCGGCAUUAUAAUGUAAUCUGAAACACAGUAAAACAGUUGUUUGCUUAUGAAAUACUAUAAAUAUUGAUGAUCCUAUGAUAAUUAUUAGAAAGGUUUAAAAAACAACAUUUUCAGGAUAAACAGAGCUGUUGAUUCAUUAUUGGCAUCAAAGAUUUGCAACCAUUGCCAGUUUCUGAAGAAAGGAAAUAAAAAAAAAAGAUAAGAAAACAAGAUUGAACUAACUUUCAACUUAUUUGCAAUCUAACCCAACAACCGCAUCCACCAAUUGAUCGAUCUUCUUGUCGGAGUUCUUGACGUCCACCACCUCCCCACCUCCAGAUCGAUUAUCUCCGCCUUCGUCGCCGGAAUCGGAAAGGUCAAGGGACCGUGACCGACUGACGUAGAGGGGAACCGAAGUACUAAUGUGAGAUGCAGAUAUUAUGGACAAUGAUAGCGGUUAUCUGUGGUAUGAAUCGAGGGUGGUGCACGACUAGAUCCCGUGCGGGUUGAUUUUAUAUCCAAGGAAAUGUCCUUAUGUCACCUUGAACGUGCAUUUCUUGGCCUUCAAACGUAGGUCUGCCUUUCGGAUGUUGGCUAAAUUUAAUUUCUUAAUUUCAGGUUGGACAGGUGGUCUUGUUAUAUAUUGGACUGGACUAAGAUAUCAUUUACGUAUACCUCGACAUUCCUUUCGAUCUGGUUCGCGAAGAUUCGGUCAAUUAACCUUUGGAAUGUUGUUCCCACGUUCCGGAGCCCGAACGGCAUUACCCGGAAAAAGAACGUGUCAUGCUCGGUUACGAAAGACGUUUUUUUCGGUCCUACUUCGCCCAGUAUGCUGCCUCGGUUCUUGUCACCCCGGAGGGUCUCAUUAUCAUCCUAUGAGAAACCCAAGAGGGUUGUUAAUCU